AACCGCAAAGGGGCUCAGUAAACCAGUUUUAAUUUACUAGAGUUGACACGUUACGGUACGUGGAUACCUGUGGUAAUUCUAGAGCUAAUACAUGCAAUUAAGUCCGGACCAGAAAUGGAAAGGAUGCUUUUAUUAGAUCAAAACCAUUCGCCCAACUUGUUUGGGCGUUGUUUUGGUGAAUCUAGAUAACACUUGAGAUCGUACAGUCAUCGUACUGACGACAUCUCUUUCAAACGCCUGACUUAUCAGCUGUCGAUGGUAGACUCUGUGUCUACCAUGGCCCUCACGGGUAACGGGGAAUCAGGGUUCGAUUCCGGAGAGGGAGCCUGAGAAACGGCUACCACAUCCAAGGAAGGCAGCAGGCACGCAAAUUACCCACUCCCGGCACGGGGAGGUAGUGACAAAAAAUAACGAUACGGGACUCUAUUGAGGCCCCGUAAUCGGAAUGAGUACACUUUAAAUCCUUUAACAAGGAUCCAUUGGAGGGCAAGUCUGGUGCCAGCAGCCGCGGUAAUUCCAGCUCCAAUAGCGUAUAUUAAAGUUGUUGCGGUUAAAAAGCUCGUAGUUGGUUCUGCGUGCCGCGCUGUCGGUUCGCCGCCUGUCGGUGUAACUGGCAUGUCGCGGCAUGUCCUGUCGGUGGUGAACGUUGCCCACGGUGCUGCUAAGACUUUUAUAGUCUAAGUUUGUUCCGUGAGUGUAACGUUUGCCGAUCUCUCCUACUCCGGUGCUCUUAAACGAGUGUCGAGGUAGGCCGACACGUUCACUUUGAACAAAUUAGAGUGCUUAAAGCAGGCUGAAAUAUCUGCCUGAAUAGUGGUGCAUGGAAUGAUAAAAUAGGACCUCGGUUCUAUUUUGUUGGUUUUAGGAAUAUGAGGUAAUGAUCAAUGUGGACUGGCGGGGGCAUUCGUAUUG
rnacentral:rRNA from 1 species